ensembl:lncRNA
AUGGGAGCUGCAGUUCGUUUAGUAGCCCUUCCAAUAGAGAAGAACCUGCAAAGUGCUUUCCAGGCGUGGAGUUACUCCUGUGGUGACAGGGGAGUGGUCAGAGAAAGCAGGCAACGCUGACUCGUGCAGGUAAAGCAGGCAAGUUGUGUGGCACUGAGUUGGAUGCCUGGGAGAGAUGCAGUGGCAGAGCGCCCAUCGUUGGAAGCACAGUUUGGCAGUUUCCUGUGUUGCCCAAGGAACUGGGACUGCCCGGGCAGAGAGCUCAAGGUUGUCUUACAGCUGAAGGAGGGAAAAUAGAGCAGCAACAACUGAGGCAAGCUUUCAUCAGAGGUAAGCAUGUGUAUGAGCUGGGAGAUGCCGUGUAGAGGAACACAGAAAGGAG